rnacentral:rRNA from 1 species
UACGUAGGGCGCAAGCGUUGUCCGGAAUUAUUGGGCGUAAAGAGCUCGUAGGCGGUUUGUCGCGUCUGCUGUGAAAACCUAAGGCUCAACCUUGGGCUUGCAGUGGGUACGGGCAGACUAGAGUGCGGUAGGGGGUGACUGGAAUUCCUGGUGUAGCGGUGGAAUGCGCAGAUAUCAGGAGGAACACCGAGUGGCGAAGGCAGGUCACUGGGCCGCAACUGACGCUGGAGGAGCGAAAGCAUGGGGAGCGAACAGG